UGGGGAAUCUUAGACAAUGGGCGCAAGCCUGAUCUAGCCAUGCCGCGUGAUCGAUGAAGGCCUUAGGGUUGUAAAGAUCUUUCAGUUGGGAAGAUAAUGACUGUACCAACAGAAGAAGCCCCGGCUAACUCCGUGCCAGCAGCCGCGGUAAUACGGAGGGGGCUAGCGUUAUUCGGAAUUACUGGGCGUAAAGCGCACGUAGGCGGACUGGCAAGUUAGGGGUGAAAUCCCAGGGCUCAACCUUGGAACUGCCCUUAAAACUGCUGGUCUUGAGUUCGAGAGAGGUAAGUGGAAUUCCGAGUGUAGAGGUGAAAUUCGUAGAUAUUCGGAGGAACACCAGUGGCGAAGGCGGCUUACUGGCUCGAUACUGACGCUGAGGUGCGAAAGCGUGGGGAGCAAACA
rnacentral:rRNA from 1 species